GAUGAACGCUGGCGGCGUGCCUAAUACAUGCAAGUCGAGCGAACAGACGAGGAGCUUGCUCCUCUAACGUUAGCGGCGGACGGGUGAGUAACACGUGGAUAACCUACCUAUAAGACUGGGAUAACUUCGGGAAACCGGAGCUAAUACCGGAUAAUAUAUUGAACCGCAUGGUUCAAUAGUGAAAGACGGUUUUGCUGUCACUUAUAGAUGGAUCCGCGCCGCAUUAGCUAGUUGGUAAGGUAACAGCUUACCAAGGCAACGAGGCGUAGCCGACCUGAGAGGGUGAUCGGCCACACUGGAACUGAGACACGGUCCAGACUCCUACGGGAGACAGCAGUAGGGAAUCUUCCGCAAUGGGCGAAAGCCUGACGGAGCAACGCCGCGUGAGUGAUGAAGGUCUUCGGAUCGUAAAACUCUGUUAUUAGGGAAGAACAAAUGUGUAAGUAACUAUGCACGUCUUGACGGUACCUAAUCAGAAAGCCACGGCUAACUACGUG
rnacentral:rRNA from 1 species